rnacentral:rRNA from 1 species
UACGUAGGGUGCGAGCGUUGUCCGGAAUUAUUGGGCGUAAAGAGCUUGUAGGCGGUCUGUCGCGUCUGCUGUGAAAAUCCGGGGCUCAACCCCGGACUUGCAGUGGGUACGGGGCAGACUAGAGUGUGGUAGGGGAGACUGGAAUUCCUGGUGUAGCGGUGAAAUGCGCAGAUAUCAGGAGGAACACCGAUGGCGAAGGCAGGUCUCUGGGCAUUAACUGACGCUGAGGAGCGAAAGCAUGGGGAGCGAACAGG